rnacentral:rRNA from 1 species
AGCGAACGCUGGCGGCAGGCCUAACACAUGCAAGUCGAACGAACUCUUCGUAUUUAGUGGCGGACGGGUUAGUAACACGUGGGAUCGUUCCUUUUGGUUCGGUAUAACUCAGGGAAACUUGUGCUAAUACCGAAUGUGCCCUUCGGGGGAAAGAUUUGUCGCCAUUAGAGCGUCCCGCCUCUGUUUAGCUAGUUGUUGAGGUAACUGCUCACCAAGGAGACGAUCAGUAGCUGGUCUGAGAGGAUGAGCAGCCACACUGGGACUGAGACACGGCCCAGACUCCUACGGGAGGGAGCAGUGGGGAAUCUAGCGAAAUGGGGGAAAGCAUGACGAAGCCAUGCCGCGUGAAUGAUGAAGGUAGUAGGAUAGUAAAAUGCUUUCACCGGGGACGAUAAUGACGGUAACCGGAGAAGAAGCCCCGGCUAACUACGUG